rnacentral:misc_RNA from 1 species
GGACUACUCGGGUAUCUAAUCCUGUUCGCUCCCCACGCUUUCGCUCCUCAGCGUCAGUAACGGCCCAGAGACCUGCCUUCGCCAUUGGUGUUCUUCCCGAUAUCUACACAUUCCACCGUUACACCGGGAAUUCCAGUCUCCCCUACCGCACUCAAGCCCGCCCGUACCCGGCGCGGAUCCACCGUUAAGCGAUGGACUUUCACACCGGACGCGACGAACCGCCUACGAGCCCUUUACGCCCAAUAAUUCCGGAUAACGCUUGCACCCUACGUAUUACCGCGGCUGCUGGCACGUAGUUAGCCGGUGCUUAUUCAACGGGUAAACUCACUCACGCUUGCUCCCCGAUAAAAGAGGUUUACAACCCGAAGGCCUCCAUCCCUCACGCGGCGUCGCUGCAUCA